GACGUAGGGUGCGAGCGUUGUCCGGAUUUAUUGGGCGUAAAGAGCUCGUAGGCGGCUCGUCGCGUCGACCGUGAAAACCCGCGGCUUAACUGCGGGCUUGCGGUUGAUACGGGCGGGCUAGAGUUCGGGAGAGGAGAGUGGAAUUCCCAGUGUAGAGGUGAAAUUCGUAGAUAUUGGGAAGAACACCGGUGGCGAAGGCGGCUCUCUGGACCGAGACUGACGCUGAGGCGCGAAAGCGUGGGGAGCAAACAGG
rnacentral:rRNA from 1 species